rnacentral:rRNA from 1 species
GACGAACGCUGGCGGCGUGCUUAACACAUGCAAGUCGAACGGAGUGGCGAACGGGUGAGUAACACGUGGGGGAUCUGCCUUACACUUCGGGAUAAGCUUGGGAAACUGGGUCUAAUACCGGAUAGUGCAAGAUGAGCUCGCGGCCUAGCAGCUUGUGGGUGGGGUAAUGGCCUACCAAGGCGUCGACGGGUAGCCGGCCUGAGAGGGUGUACGGCCCCAUUGGGCCUGCGCUACGGCCCAGACUCCUACGGGAUGCAGCAGUGGGGAAUAUUGCACAAUGGGCGGACGCCUGAUGCAGCGACGCCGCGUGGGGGAUGAAGGCCUUCGGGUUGUAAACUCCUUUCGACAGUUACGCGGUACCUGUAUAAGAAGCACCGGCUAACUACGUGCCAGCCGCCGCGGUAAUUC